UUUAACAAAGGCUUGUUUGUGCCAACCUAAAUCUGCAGCACAGUUUAAAUUCUCACUUUGUGGAAAAUUAAUGAAAUAAACAACAGCCCACCUUCACAUAAAUAAAAUAUGGCAGUAUAUUAUUAUUAGUAUGGUACAUAGAUAUUUAUUUUAAAACUACAGCAUAUUUAAUGAUACUAUGUGCAGUUGAUAAUAUUUUAGGAAGUAGAAUUUGAAUGCAGACCACCUCAAAUAUUAAAGACUUAAAAAUAUAUCGUGCAGUUUAUCAUGUAUGAGUGUUAUUGCAAUCUUAAAUGAGAUGUAGACCAAAGAAAACAGAGGAGAGUUGUUGUUUGUAUUCCAGCUGUAGUAAACAAAGAAGUUUAGUGAAUCUUUUUGACAACAGAGAGUGAUGCAGUAUUGAUGCUAAUUUGAGUUUUCUGAUCCUGUAUUUUUGCUCUUUGUCUUUUGUUACACAGAGUGAAAUAGAAGCUUGGUUUUGCCUUUGCUGGUGAGUAAACAGUGAUUGUAACUGAAGCAAUAUGACAUUGGGAUUGUGUAACAUGUUUAGCAAUUUACAUACAAUAGUUUGGCUUUUUGUGAUAUCUUGCCAUUUGCUCAUGGGCAAAAACACAUUUUAGGAUUUAUAAGCAGUAAAGCCCCCCCACUAGACCUCUGAGUGUCCCUAAAAAUGUCCCUGUAGUUUAAUAGGCCAUUUAUGUCUAAUUUUAAUUUUAAAGGCUUAUCAAAGCAUUUCUGUAGUAAUUAUUGUUUUUAUUACACAUGUUAAGGCCAUUUGAGACUCUGCAAUUAAAUUUUGCCCUCUUUAGACUAAAGUGAGUUCAUUUUGUCUGAGGUACAGUGCUGGGAAAAGUCUUUCUUCCUUGCAGAUUUAUUUUGUUCAUGCUUUUUUGUCACAUGUUUCAAAUCAUCUAACAGGGAUGAUAUGAAUAAAUACAAAAAAGCAUUUUUAAAGUGAUGAUUUCACGUAUGAAGCAGAGAAAACCAAACCAGAGCUAUCUGUUCUAAUGUGAGAACAUGCUGGUCUCUAAUACCCAGCUGUGGAAGCCCUGAUAGCAAGAACUACCAUCAAGCAUUUAUAGUAUCAAGUAUCAUUUGUGAUUGUUGCAUGCUUUGAAACUGUGAUGUUAUCAUUUGAUCAAGUGUGCAGUGCGAGCAAAUCAUUGCUUGUGGUAUCUGCUGUGUUAUGUAAUAGCACCAACGUAUAAGAGCUUUACGUUAAUGAGGAAUUUCUGUGGCUUAUUGCAGAUUGAUAAAACGACACAUCACCUUAAUAAAGACGGAAAUCUUUAAUAAGGUGCAGAAAGAGAAGAUGGGGUGUUUAUAGUAAAGCUGUUGUAAACAAAGAAUUUAACAGAUUUUUUUUUCACUACAGAUUGUGAUGCAGUAUUGACUCUGAUGCUGAUUUCAGUUGUCUGAUUCUGUAUUUUUGUUCUUUUGUUACACAGAGUGAAACAGAACUUCGGUUUUGCCUUUGCUGGAUACUGAUCUGAUCGUCUCAAGUCUGAGUGAACAGAUCUUUGGUUUUGCCUUUGCUGGUGACCUGCUCCAGAAGAUCCUCUCUCUCUAUCAUUAUAAGCAAUUCUGUCUAUCCUAUCACUCUCCCGACUCUAUCUAAUUUGACAGCCAUUCCAUCUUGUAUCCCUCUAUCCUCUACUGCUCUAUCUAAUUUGACAGCCAUUCUAUCUUGUAUCCCUCUCUCUCUACUGCUCUAUCUAAUUUGACAGCCAUUCUAUCUUGUAUCCCUCUAUCUCUACUGCUCUAUCUAAUUUGACAGCCAUUCUAUCUUGUAUCCCUCUAUCUCUACUGCUCUAUCUAAUUUGAGAAUCCAAGUUUUCAGAAAUCCAAGUUUUCAGAAUCCAAGUUUUCAGAAAUCCAAGUUACCAGUACUUGAUCUAUCUGUUACAGAAUUCUGAGAGAUCUCUGCUCUCACUGCUCCUUCUUUCCUGUCAUUAAGCUCUCUCACAUUCAGUCAUUUUGCUGGAAAUUACAAGUUGAAUUUACAGUACAGUAGAACUUAUAGUAGAAACUACUUACACAGCCCUACAUUAGUCAUUUUAAUUUUGCAUUAGACUUUGGAAUUAACACUGCUAGUUUGGCUUACUUUGAUACAUUGUAUAAAAUAUCACCUUUUUAUAAGUUUAUUUGUAAUAAGAUAAUCUGGUUCUUUUGUAAUACAUACAUUCAGAUAAAUAAUAAAUUAGAUCCAAAUACAUUUUGCUA